rnacentral:rRNA from 1 species
GCAUAUCUACUAAAGCAGGAGGGAAAAAGAAGAACUAUCAAGGAUUCCCUAGUAACUGCGAGUGAAGCGGGAAAAGCUCAAAUUUUAAAAUCUGGCGGUCUGUGGCCGUCCGAGUUGUAGUCUGGAGAAGUGCUUUCCGCGCUGGACCGUGUAUAAGUCUCUUGGAACAGAGCGUCAUAGGGGGUGAGAAUCCCGUCUUUGACACGGACUACCAGUGCUUUGUGAUGCGCUCUCAAAGAGUCGAGUUGUUUGGGAAUGCAGCUCAAAAUGGGUGGUGAAUUCCAUCUAAAGCUAAAUAUUGGCGAGAGACCGAUAGCGAACAAGUACCGUGAGGGAAAGAUGAAAAGCACUUUGGAAAGAGAGUUAAACAGUACGUGAAAUUGCUGAAAGGGAAACGCUUGAAGUCAGUCGCGUUGUCCGGAACUCAGCCUUGCUUUUUUGCUUGGUGCACUUUCCGGAUGACGGGUCAGCAUCGAUUUUGACCGUCGGAAAAGGGCUGGAGUAAUGUGGCACCUCCGGGUGUGUUAUAGACUCCGGUCGCAUACGGCGGUUGGGAUCGAGGAACGCAGCGCGCCGCAAGGCAGGGGUUCGCCCACUUUCGCGCUUAGGAUGCUGGCAUAAUGGCUUUAAACGACCCGUCUUGAAACACGGACCAAGGAGUCUAACAUACCUGCAAGUGUUUGGGUGGAAAACCCGAGCGCGUAAUGAAAGUGAAAGUUGAGAUCCCUGUCGUGGGGAGCAUCGACGCCCGGACCAGACGUUCUCUGACGGAUCCGCGGUAGAGCAUGUAUGUUGGGACCCGAAAGAUGGUGAACUAUGCCUGAAUAGGGGUGAAGCCAGAGGAAACUCUGGUGGAGGCUCGUAGCGAUUCUGACGUGCAAAUCGAUCGUCAAAUUUGGGUAUAGGGGCGAAAGACUAAUCGAAACCAUCUAGUAGCUGGCUCUGGCGA